rnacentral:sRNA from 1 species
AAAAGUCUAUUGCACUGAGCUGUGGCAAACAGCAAAUGAGAUUACCAAAGAUUUGAACAACUGUUAAUUUAGAAAAAGUGCUGUCGUUGUAAUAACAACUUCUAGGAGACCGGCAGCCCUUUUCAGCCCGUUCGUAAGAAGGCAACAAGUUCUUCUCCUCUACAGAAGGAUUUUGCAAACAAUUCGGCAAGUUCCAAAUGAUUCUGAUCGCAAACACCUGAAAGAUUGGGCAAGAGAAGAAUUCAAAAGAAACAAAAGUGCCACCGAAGAGGUGAGAACAAAAUCAUGGAUACAAUCCGGAUGAUGAUUACUCAAGGCAAUAUGCAGCUCAAGGAGUUAGAAAAAACACUUGCUUUAGCAAAAUCUUAACUAUAGCAUUAUUCUGAAGGAUUUUCAAAGUCUCCAUGUGUUUUGUUGCAUUUAGGAUUAACAAUGGACAACACAAAGCCCAGUCUUACUAUUUAUAUGUACAGUAUUUGGUGAUAGAGAGCAAAGGAAAAACACAUCAGAACAGUUGCCUUAACACUGAAAAACAUACCCUGCAUUUUGAAAAUGUUUAUGGAUGUCUCAGCAGUUUUUAAAAGAAGAAAAAAACCACUAACAAAUGGCCAGUAGAUGCUGGACACAAUCAUUAGGGAAGUGUAAAUCAAAACUACUAUGAGGUCGGGUGUAGUGGCUCAUGCUUGUAAUCCCAGUACUUUAGGAGGCUGAGGUAGGUGGAUCACUUGAGGUCAGGAGUUCAAGACCAGCCUGGCCAACAUGGUGAAACCUCAUCUCUACUAAAAAUACAAAAAUUAGCUUGGUGUGGUGGUGCAUGCCUGUAGUCCCAGCUACUUGGGAGGCUGAGGCAGGAGAAUCACUUGAACCCAGGAAGUGGAGGUUGCAGUGAGCUGAGGUUGUGCCACUGCACUUCAGCCUGGGUGACAGAGUGAGACAGUCUCUAAAAAAAAAAAAAAAAAAAAAAAAAAAAAAACCCUGAGAUUCACAUUCACUAGAAUGGCUGUAAUUAAAAAGAGAAAUAAUAAUAAGUCUUGGUGAAGAUGUACAGAAAUUACAGAACCCUCAUACAUUGCUGGUGGGAAUGUAAAAUGGUGUAGCCACUUCAGAAAACAGACGGUCAGUUCCUCAAAAGAUGAAACAGCUGCUGUAUGAGUUAGCACUUCUACCCCAUGCCCAUAGCCAUUAUUUGGCACUAAAAAGAAACGAAGGACUUAUAUAUACUAAACAUGGAUAAACCUUGAAAACGUUAAGUGAAGGAAGCCAGUCACAAAAGAUCACAUGAUGAUUCCAUUCAUACAAAAUGUCCAGAAUAGGCAGAAAGAUUAGUGGUUGCCUAGGCUGGCUGUAGAUGGAAUGGAGUAACUGCUAAUGGGUGUAGGGUUCCUUUUCAGGGUGAUGAAAAUAUCCUACAGUUAGCUUGUGGUGUAGGCUGCACAACUCUUGAAUAUAUUCAAAUCCACUGAACUGUACAUUUUAAAUGUAAGGUAUGAAUUGUAUCUCAAUAAAGCUGUUAUUAAAAAACUCUUGAGGUGUAGGACUGAAAGUAUACUGACACCAGGAGAUACCCUGGAACUUUCUCGAAAAAUCCUGCAUUAUCCCUGAGGGUUGUUCAGGUACGUUCUUCAGAUGUGUCAUAGUUUGAUAGAGAACUCAUCAAAAAGAUCACCACUGGGAAUCUAGAUCUUUGUUGAAAAGGGAAGAGAAAGAGAAGCUUAAUGAGCACAUUGAAGCACUUACCAGAAAGAAGAGGGAAGACUUCUGGAUGAAACCUCUGUGAGUACCUUAACAUUCACGUGGAAGUAGUAAAAAUAAGAUUCUGGGUGCAGUUCUCCUCCAACGACAGGAAAAAAAAACAAAGAGAAUUUGAAGAAUACGUCAGAGACAAAUACAUUACAACCAAAGUUGACUUCAAGGCACUUUUGAAGGAGAUCAAAUUUAUAACAAAAUAAUUUAGUGAAAGUGAAAGCUUGUGGAAGAUGUUGGAAUCAUCCAUCCUGAAAAUUGAAGUCUUCUGUUUAUCAACAGAACAGCUAAGAAGCUAAUCUAAGAAUGACCAGCACCUGAAAGAUGUAGACAACAUUUUGCAGAAUGAUAAAUGGUAUCCAGUACUGGACUGUGUCUGAGAGGCAUCAACUGAAUGUGGAUGUUGAUGACCUGGACUGUCAGGGUCCACCUCUACCUCCCAGAGUCAGAGCCCACAAGACAAAAUAAUUCUGAAUACUGUUCCAUGGGGGUAAUCUACUAAUUCAAAAUGCCUGCCUGUGCCAAUUUUCAGGUUUUUAUGUAGAUAAGUAUUAGUUAACCUGUUGCAAAAUGAUCUGACAAACAGAAGCAUUUGUGACGUUUCUGAACAGAGAACACUUUGGAAAUAUUUUUUGUGUGACAUGAUUGAUAGAUACAUGCUAUCUCUAGUAAAUCUAAAAUCUUGAAACUCAAAAUCAUCCUUUUAUGGGUGUAGAAGUCAGUGAUUUAAUGAUGCUCUUCCUAACAGUGGUGUGCAUGGAAAGGUUUUCAUUAAAGAGCGUAUGUGGUUUGCAUUUGCAAGAUUCAACUAGCACAGACUCCAAGAAAACCUAAGUUUUUUUGUUUUUUAAAGCAGGUAAGGCCAGGCACUGUGGCUUACACAAGUAAUCCACACACUUUGGGAGGCCGAGGUGGGUGGAUCACUUGAGGUCAGGAUUUCGAGACUAGCUAGGCCACUAGCUAGCCUAACCUGGUGGCACGUGCCUGUAAUUCCAGCUACUCAGGAGGGCUGCCUCAUCUUGAACCCGGGAGGCAGAGGCUGCAGUGAGCCGAGAUCACACCACUGCACUACAGCCUGGGCGACAGAGUGAGACUCGUCUC